GGAGUUAGCCGGUGCUUCUUCUGCGAGUAACGUCACAGAUGUAAGGUAUUAACUUACACCCUUUCCUCCUCGCUGAAAGUGCUUUACAACCAGAAGGCCUUCUUCACACACGCGGCAUGGCUGCAUCAGGGUUUCCCCCAUUGUGCAAUAUUCCCCACUGCUGCCUCCCGUAGGAGUCUGGGCCGUGUCUCAGUCCCAGUGUGGCUGAUCAUCCUCUCAGACCAGCUAGGGAUCGUCGCCUAGGUGAGCCUUUACCUCACCUACUAGCUAAUCCCACCUGGGCUUAUCCAUCAGCGCAAGGCCCGAAGGUCCCCUGCUUUCCCCCGUAGGGCGUAUGCGGUAUUAGCAGUCGUUUCCAACUGUUAUCCCCCACAAAUGGGCAAAUUCCCAGGCAUUACUCACCCGUCCGCCGCUCGUCAUCUUCAAAAGCAAGCUUUUGAAAUGUUACCGCUCGACUUGCAUGUGUUAGGCCUGCCGCCAGCGUUCAAUCUGAGCCAGAAUCAAACUCUGA
rnacentral:rRNA from 1 species